UUAUACGAUUGUGUCAAAGGAAUAUCAAUCAUUGACGGGGUGUGUUUCUAAGUAAAGUUUUAUGCUCGAUAAACAUUAACAUGUUCCUCAGUGAGUUUUCAUUCAAUGUUGGAUCGAUCUGUGUCGUUGCAUUAUUAGUUCAUGUGCGUAUUCUUGGAAGCAAUAUAAGUAUAAUGAUAAGCAGAAUGUUGAUAAGCGGAAAGGCAGUUGGAAGGGGCAACGAUGAUUACAAGGCAGAGGAAGAACAUAUUCCUUUAAAUUGUCGGCUGAAUGUGAAGAAAAGUACUGUAUCUAUGAGGGGACUGCAAUGCAGGUUUGCAGACACAAGUCUUCGGCGGCGAAGCGACUCCCGAAAUCAGCUGAGACAUUUGCUGACAGAUCCUGAAAAUAUGACACACGACAAGAGAGAGGAAGAAGGAGAAGAAAGUCAUACCGAGAUGUGCUAUGGGAAUGAGAAGGAGGAGAAUAACAAGUUGGACGAAAAUUCUCCUACGUUAGAUCCAAAUUUGGUGCCCCCUUCAGUACCGGAAAUGAAGAUUAAGACUAAUAAUUCCAUUCUGGUCUCAUGGCGUGCUCCGGUGCGGAAAAAAUAUCCGAUUGAUUACUUCCUUGUAGAAUUUUACCGAUACAAAGGCCGGGAGUUCUGUUCUAAGGGCUGUGCGUGCGUCAAUAAUGAGCCAAAAAGUAACUCGUCGAGCGAAUCUUAUCACGAGGAGCUGAUCGAUUGUCUUGAGCCAAAUUUUGACUACAAGAGUUAACAAGCACUGUUGCAUCGCUCGCGCCCCACCGACUUUGAUGCAGAAAUAUCAGUAAUCAUGCGGCUCUCAAUAAGCUUUUUUGCAUGACAUCUUUUGUGAACAUUCAGGUGAGAGUAAGCGCAAACCACAAAAUAAAGGUUCCGAGUUGCGGCCUCCUACCCCAAGCAUAAUCACUCUUGGGGCUGGUGGAGCAAGAAAAUAAACCUACCCAAUGAUUCUGAAGGAGAGGACACUUUAAAUCAUGAAUGAAAUUUUUCCUGCUCAACGGAAAGACGACGACUUAAAAAUAUUACUAAUUUAAGAAUCUUGGUGUGUCUAGAGAGCACCGUUUUACUUUUGUGUGCGUAAUAAAAAAGACUGUGAUUUUUUAAAUUAUGAUUGAAAAUUGUACGUAAUUAAGUAAUAAAAUUGAGUGAUUUUAAGAAGCUA